AAGCUGAAUAAUCCCUUUCCUCCCCAACUUGCUUCUUGGUCAUGAUGUUUUGUGGAGGAAUAGAAACCCUGACUAAGACUCAUGAUGUAUAAACAACAUUGGGCAUAUAAGUAGCCAUACUAUACACUUAAGAAUCAUUACAAAAGCAUAUUGUGUGAUUUCAUUUUACCUCUAACCCAUGUUAAUAAAGCACAGAUUUUAUGUGUCAGGUUUCAGGAUUAGUAUAGUCUCUGAAAUGUUAUUUUAUAAUAGUAUCUGCACCACAGUACAAUAGUGUUUUGACCAAAUAGUCUGCACAACUGAGCUCUUAUUAAAUCAAAAUUUUCAUUUUAGCUGUGAAGCUUGUUUAUAUAUGAGCAUUGUAUGCAAUAUCAGGCAGUAUAGUUGAAAAUUUUAGUGUGUGAUUGGUAGAUAUAGCUGCUGAAAUAUACUUGGGUAAAUAUUGCUUGAGCAUCAUAAUUACUAAAUAUUAAAUUCAGCCACAGAACUAUGUCUGAGAUGGCUAAACAUAAAUAGAAGGAUUAAGAAGACUUUAAGAAAUACAGACACUAAGACUUUAAGAAAUACAGACAUUAUUAUAAAAUAGCACUUCAGAGACUAUUCAAAUGCUUUUCCAUGAAGCUUAUUAUUUCUGCAUUUACUUCAUUUCUUCUUACUAAAUGUACAAUUCCUCAUGACGUUGAGACACAACAAAAUUGGUGUGGUAAGAUAAGUUAUUAAAAUGUGAAUCAUGUUUCAAUCACAGGAUUUUCUGAAGCUUCCUCUUAAACAUUUAAGAAGCAAUACCUUUGUUUCCUUUGCCACAAGAAAAACAAAGUCCGUUUUAAAACACUCUAUAUUUAUAUCGCUUAAAAGCCACCUUUAUUAAGAAUCACAUGCUAUAUUCCUUAGGUGUGAGAAUGUGGAAGAAAAUAAUAGAAAACAAGGGGAAAUGAAGUAACAACCGAAAGAAGAAAGUUGAUUGUUUGUGUCACUUUGGACUUUGCAGGAACCCAAGAAUCAGCCAAGUAGAAAUGCCAGUGAGCUUGCUCCCUCCGUAGUGUUGUCAAUAUUUGAAGUUUUCUGAUGGUCUGCAUUUCCAAGCAUCACAACUUCCUGCCGCUAGAGCCUAGAAUCUCCAGGCAAUGUCCUUUGGCCUGUGCCUAGUCUAAAGCACAGACACCAACAGCCACACAUUAUAUGGAGCUCGGGAAGUCUUGUGGAAGAGUCUGGGGAAGGGUUGAGGGACCGGAAGAGGAUAGGAACUCCACAGGAAGACCAACAAUCAACUAACCUGGAAUCUUGGGGGCUCCCAGUGGCUGAAUCACCAACCAAAGAGCCAGCAUUGACUGGAUUUUGGCUCUAUGCACAUAUGCACAUAUGUACCAGAUGAGCAGCUGGGUCUUCAUGCAGGUUCCUCAACAACUGGAGUAGGGGCUGUCCCUUAAUCUGUUUCCUGACAGUGGAUCCUAUUCCCCCAACUGGGCUGCCCUCUCUGGCCUCAGAGGGAGAGUAUGUGCAGUUUUACAAAGACUUGAUGUGUUAGGGUGGAGUGAUACUAAGGGGGGGGGGGCUCUCCUUCUCAGAGGAAAAAGGGAGUAGCUGUAGGAGGGGCGCCAAGAGGAAAUGGAACAGAUAGUGGAUUUUAAAAUGAAUGAAUGAAUGAAUGAAUGAAUGAAAAAUUAAAGCAUAUUGAUGCGCAAUUCUUACUGAUUUCUUGAUGUUAUAAGCUAGAAUAAUAUGUUAAAGCAUGGUAAGUGGGGUAGCAUAGUGUCUGAUAAAUUUAAGACAUAAACCUUGUUUUUUAUUACC